rnacentral:rRNA from 1 species
AACGAACGUUGGCGGCGUGGAUUAGGCAUGCAAGUCGAACGCGAAAGGGUAGCAAUACCCGAGUAAAGUGGCGAACGGGUGAGUAACGCGUAGGAAACCUGCCUUCGAGAGGGGGAUAACACUCCUAACGGGGUGCUAAUACCGCAUGAUACUGCGGGGUCGCCUGGCCCUGCAGUCAAAGGUGGCCUCUAUUUAUAAGCUACCACUCGAAGAUGGUCCUGCGUCCCAUUAGCUAGUUGGCGGGGUAACGGCCCACCAAGGCGACGAUGGGUAGCCGAUCUGAGAGGAUGACCGGCCACACUGGGACUGAGAUACGGCCCAGACUCCUACGGGAGGCUG